rnacentral:rRNA from 1 species
CUCCAGACUCCUACGGGAGGCAGCAGUGGGGGAUAUUGCACAAUGGGGGGAACCCUGAUGCAGCGACGCCGCGUGGGUGAAGGAGCGUUUCGGCGCGUAAAGCCCUGUCAGCGGGGAAGAAAAUGACGGUACCUGAAGAAGAAGCCCCGGCUAACUACGUGCCAGCAGCCGCGGUAAUACGUAGGGGGCAAGCGUUAUCCGGAUUUACUGGGUGUAAGGGGGGCGCAGACGGCGAUGCAAGCCAGGAGUGAAAGCCCGGGGCCCAACCCCGGGACUGCUCUUGGAACUGCGUGGCUAGAGUGCAGGAAGGGCAGGCGGAAUUCCUGGUGUAGCGGUGAAAUGCGUAGAUAUCAGGAGGAACACCGGUGGCGAAGGCGGCCUGCUGGACUGCAACUGACGUUGAGGCCCGAAAGCGUGGGGAGCAAACAGGAUUAGAUACCCGCGUAAC